GACGAACGCUGGCGGCGUGCUUAACACAAGCAAGUCGAGCGAUGAAGCUCCCUCGGGAGUGGAUUAGCGGCGGACGGGUGAGUAACACGUGGGUAACCUGCCUCAUAGAGGGGAAUAGCCUUUCGAAAGGAAGAUUAAUACCGCAUAAGAUUGUAGCUUCGCAUGAAGCAGCAAUUAAAGGAGUAAUCCGCUAUGAGAUGGACCCGCGUCGCAUUAGCUAGUUGGUGAGGUAACGGCUCACCAAGGCGACGAUGCGUAGCCGACCUGAGAGGGUGAUCGGCCACAUUGGGACUGAGACACGGCCCAGACUCCUACGGGAGGCAGCAGUGGGGAAUAUUGCACAAUGGGGGAAACCCUGAUGCAGCAACGCCGCGUGAGUGAAGACGGUCUUCGGAUUGUAAAGCUCUGUCUUCAGGGACGAUAAUGACGGUACCUGAGGAGGAAGCCACGGCUAACUACGUGCCAGCCGCCGCCGUAA
rnacentral:rRNA from 1 species